GAUUGAAGAACGUAGCGAAAUGCGAUAAGUAAUGUGAAUUGCAGAAUUCAGUGAAUCAUCGAAUCUUUGAACGCACAUUGCGCCCUCUGGUAUUCCGGGGGGCAUGCCUGUUCGAGCGUCAUUACAACCCUCAAGCUUUGCUUGGUAUUGGACAUUGCCAGUUUCUGGCAGGUCUUAAAAUCAGUGGCGGUGCCAUUUGGCUUCAAGCGUAGUAAUUCUUCUCGCUUUGGAGAUCCAGGUGGUUACUUGCCAAUAACCCCCAAUUUUUUCAGGUUGACCUCGGAUCAGGUAGGGAUACCCGCUGAACUUAAGCAUAUCAAUAAGCGGAGGA
rnacentral:misc_RNA from 1 species